GGGAGGCAGCAGUGGGGAAUAUUGCACAAUGGGCGAAAGCCUGAUGCAGCAACGCCGCGUGAGGGAUGACGGCCUUCGGGUUGUAAACCUCUUUUAGUAGGGAAGAAGGGAGCUUGCUCUUGACGGUACCUGCAGAAAAAGCACCGGCUAACUACGUGCCAGCAGCCGCGGUAAUACGUAGGGUGCAAGCGUUGUCCGGAAUUAUUGGGCGUAAAGAGCUCGUAGGCGGUUUGUCGCGUCUGCUGUGAAAUCCCGAGGCUCAACCUCGGGCUUGCAGUGGGUACGGGCAGACUAGAGUGCGGUAGGGGAGAUUGGAAUUCCUGGUGUAGCGGUGGAAUGCGCAGAUAUCAGGAGGAACACCGAUGGCGAAGGCAGAUCUCUGGGCCGUAACUGACGCUGAGGAGCGAAAGCAUGGGGAGCGAACAGGAUUAGAUACCCUGGUAGUCCAUGCCGUAAACGUUGGGCGCUAGAUGUAGGGACCUUUCCACGGUUUCUGUGUCGUAGCUAACGCAUUAAGCGCCCCGCCUGGGGAGUACGGCCGCAAGGCUAAAACUCAAAGGAAUUGACGGGGGCCCGCACAAGCGGCGGAGCAUGCGGAUUAAUUCGAUGCAACGCGAAGAACCUUACCAAGGCUUGACAUACACCGGAAACGGCCAGAGAUGGUCGCCCCCUUGUGGUCGGUGUACAGGUGGUGCAUGGUUGUCGUCAGCUCGUGUCGUGAGAUGUUGGGUUAAGUCCCGCAACGAGCGCAACCCUCGUUCUAUGUUGCCAGCGCGUUAUGGCGGGGACUCAUAGGAGACUGCCGGGGUCAACUCGGAGGAAGGUGGGGAUGACGUCAAAUCAUCAUGCCCCUUAUGUCUUGGGCUUCACGCAUGCUACAAUGGCCGGUACAAAGGGCUGCGAUACCGUAAGGUGGAGCGAAUCCCAAAAAGCCGGUCUCAGUUCGGAUUGAGGUCUGCAACUCGACCUCAUGAAGUCGGAGUCGCUAGUAAUCGCAGAUCAGCAACGCUGCGGUGAAUACGUUCCCGGGCCUUGUACACACCGCCCGUCAAGUCAUGAAAGUCGGUAACACCCGAAGCCGGUGGCCUAACCCU
rnacentral:rRNA from 1 species